rnacentral:lncRNA from 1 species
UAGAGCUCACAGAGGAUGAGAAGACAUUUGAGCUCUGACCAGCCAGAGUGAAGAGUCCUCAGUGAAAACCAAGGAAUUCAUUGAAGACCUCUGAGCAGUUAUUAAUUAGUAGUAAGGUCAAAUUAUUUCUGGAAUGAAGACUACUCUAGACCUACCCUAAUAAAGCUUAAAAACAGUCCACAAAUGAAUCAAACUCAUCCACAAAUAACUGGCUGAAAAAAACAGCACAACCCUUCCUAAAGGGGGACAAUUCAGACACUGAACAAGGAUGCAAUUCACAACGUCCAGUAUUCAAUAAAAAAUUAUUAUUAUUUUUUGUUGUUGUUGUUUGUUUUUGAGACGGAGUUUCGCUCUUGUUGCCCAAGCUGGAGUGCAAUGGAGCGAUCUCUCGGCUCACUGUAACCUCCGCCUCCCAGCUUCAAGCAAUUCUCCUGCCUCAGCCUCCCGAGCAGCUGGGAUUACAGGCGCCCGCCACCGUGCCCAGCUAAUUUUUUGUAUUUUUAGUGGAGACGGCGUUUAACUAUGUUGGCCAGGUUGGUCUCAAACUCCUGACCUCAGGCGAUCCACCCACCUUGGCCUCCCGAAGUGCUGGGAUUACAGGCGUGAGCCACCGUGCCCGGCUCAAUAAAAAAUUAUUAAACAUGCUAAGAAGCUCAACUCAUUUGAGCUUAAAACUUCUUAAAGCCUGAGGAAAAGGAAAAAUAUAUAAUUCUCUCUUUAAAUGUUGAACAGUUUGUGACAUAUUAAAGAUACUUAAUCAGAAGAAAUUAAUUCUACAAUAUUCUUAAAGGCAAUCUUUUAGCUUUUAGAUAAAAAACAUUUGAUAAAAUGGGUUUCACUUCUUCUAGGAUGACUUCCAUCACAAUUCUAUUUUAAGACUGUUUUAUGUAGAUUUGUAAUCUGGUGUUUUGAAACAACAUAAAACUUGGUUUCUCUUUUAACAAAACUGAGAAGAGUUCUCAUGCCUUCUUUUUCUCAAGGUAAAUAUAUCCAGUUCUCUCUAUCUUAUUCUGACAAAAUUUUUCUUAUUCUCUGGAUGCACUCUGGUUCCUCCGUGUUUUUUAAUUAAAUGCCAUUGCUGCCGUGUUAAAACUAGGAACAAAUAGUUCUACAAAGACUAGAAGUCCAAUAAACCAUGGGAGUAUAAAAUAUAUUGUCAUAGUUGAUGUUGUCAAUAAUAACCAUGAUAAAGGUCAUAAAAUACUAGUUUCUAAAAUUUAUGAAUCCUUUUAUCUAUGUCAGAUGCUGUGCUAAGUGCUUCAUGACGGCUAUCUCAUUUUACUCUCACAACUCCACGAGAUAGAUACCAUUGUUUUGUUUUAUAAAUGAGAAAUUUAAAUCACUGAAAGGUUUAUAAAUGAACUCUUUCCACACUUAUACUGUAUAAUAAGCCACUCAAAAACUCAGGAACUCUAGAAGAGUUUUAGACUGGAAUAUAAGCUUUGUGGAACAUUUACCCACAUUUAGACUGCUCAAACUAACCAAAACAUCAGGUUUCUUGCCUUCAACUAGACUACUAGCCACCUGGCAUGAUGAUUAUUGGUUAACUCAAGGGAAAUAACUUAUUACUUAACAAAUGUUAUUGGUAGUAAAGAUAUGGAAUCAACCACACCAAAGAGGGAAAGCUGCAUGUUAUUGUGCAAGUAAGAGCUGCGUUUGACAGCACAUUUGUUAAAACCUGUAAGUCAAGAUUUUUGUAGAGUUAUUUCCCCCCAAGCUAUUUUUGCAGGGCCCAUUCACAGACACACAACACAGGGCUUCUUGAUUUUUCUUGAUAAGGCAAGUAAAAAAAUCAGUUAGGUGGAAUUUGUGCUUGUUUUAUUAUAUUUUAUUUCUGUUGUAAUAAGAACAUUAAACAUCAGAGAUUCCAUUCUAAUUUCUGCUUCUAUAAGUUUGACUAGACUUGUUGAAAAUUGUCCGUGGAAGAAAGUAUGAGGAACUUAUAAAAAGUGUUUAAAAGGUAGGGGGAAGGGGAAGAAGACAAAGAAACAUGCUGGGAUCACAUGCUUUUGCCAAACAUUUGAAUGUUAUGAUAAAAUUUUUUUAAGUGAUAGCAUUUUUAGAGGACUAAUAUUAUAAUUAAAAACUCUAGAUGGGCCGGGCGUGGUGG